rfam:Thermoplasmatales archaeon SG8-52-1 WOR_8-12_667, whole genome shotgun sequence.
GGGUUUGUAGUGUAGCUUGGAUAUCACAGAGGCUUCCGGAGCCUCGAACCCGGGUUCAAAUCCCGGCAGACCCG